rnacentral:ncRNA from 1 species
GAAAGGCUGCCCGCAGGCAGCUGGACAGCUAUGUCUGUCCCAAUUAGA